rnacentral:rRNA from 1 species
AACGAACGUUAGCGGCGCGCUUAACACAUGCAAGUCGAGCGGGAGUGGGUUUCGACCUACUUUAGCGGCGCACGGGUGAGUAACACGUAGGCAAUCUACCCUUGAGUGGUGGACAACCUUCCGAAAGGGAGGCUAAUACAGCAUAAGACCACGACCUCGCAGAGGUUGCGGCCAAAGCGGGCGCCCGCAAGGGGCUCGUGCUUAGGGAUGAGUCGGCGGCCCAUCAGCUAGUUGGUAGGGUAAUGGCCUACCAAGGCGAAGACGGGUAGCUGGUCUGAGAGGAUGAACAGCCACACUGGAACUGAGACACGGUCCAGACUCCUACGGGAGGCAGCAGUGGGGAAUCUUGCGCAAUGGGCGAAAGCCUGACGCAGCGACGCCGCGUGAGCGAUGAAGGCCUUCGGGUUGUAAAGCUCUGUGGAGAGGAAAGAAUAAGGGCAGGUUAAUACCCUGUUUGAUGACGGUACCUCUUUAGCAAGCACCGGCUAACUCUGUGCCAGCCGCCGCAGUAAUAC